CCGAGGUGGAAAGGUAAGUGCCUGCACGGCUUAGGCAAAAAAGGUCGUGACAGUUUUAUUUUUUCUCUUCAAAACAUUAUUUCUAUUCCAUGAGAGUUAUCACCGCCCUCUCCUGAAUUUAGCAUAUGUUUCAAGCUGAGAGCUACAUUCCAUAAUUCUCUUGGCUUAACCCACCAUAACCAUUGGAUCUGCCAUUAUCGACCCAAUGCGCCGAGAAAGAGAAGUAUAAUAACAAUCCACCAUAAACCAUCAUAAUCAAAGUAUGUCAUCAAGAAAUAUCAACGCGAUAACAAUUCAAAAUAACCCACCACAAUCAAUGUAUAGAACCCGGUUUGGUAGAAGGCAAAAUUCUUUACAUAUGAAUAUUUCAGAUAUGGUAAGUGAUUUUAUAUUAUUGUGGGGAUGUUGCAGUUUUUCUUCUCUUGAUUCUAGCUAGACCUUUUUUCAGCAUUACUGUAAAAAAUUUCCACUCUGCUGGAUACAAUUUUUGUUUCUUUGUUCUAUUUCUGAUCUGUAAAAGACACAAUGUAGUUGAGACUAGCCGACGUUUCAUCAAAAUGCAGAUUUUGCCAUUCAUCUUCUCAACAAAGAUCACUUGUGCUAUGUAUAGAUUGACAAAAAUGGAUUUAGAUAUUAGGUGAUGAUUAACUCAUUAAUGAUUGAAGAUAUGUUGUAGAGUUUCUCAA